rnacentral:snRNA from 1 species
UUACUACGGCAGCAUAUCUACUAAAAUUGGAAUGAUACAGAGAUCAGCAUGGCCCCUGUGCCAGGACGACAUGCAAAUUUAUGAAACAUUCCGUGGUUUU